AUCACUUCAGAAUCAUGCAUAUGACCAUUCAGUGCCAUUAACAGUCCCAGCUGUACAACUUUAGAUUUCUACUUGCUCAUACAUCCCAGGUUAUGGAUAGGAGAGACUGGCAAAGUCCUCUAGUGUCUGCUUCCUUUUGUCCUUCCAACGUGCCUUGUAGUUAAGGCAGGAAUUGGAACACCAAGUGGUUCUAAGGGGGAUGCUCAUAGCUCUGAAGGAGCAAAAGGGAGAAACUUGGGAAUGUCAAUGGAAGAGGUGGCCCUGCUUGCAGAUGCCCAGGGAUUUGGGGAAGGAAAUACCUCAGGGUGAGCACUAGGAGCACAAGCACCUGAGCAAAGCAUUAGAGCUGAAAUCAUUCCAAAUAUUCCCUUCAGGUUUGCCAGUGGAAUUGUGGUAUUAAACAGAACACUUGAUUUUUAAACAAAAGAUGUUGUUUCUUACAAUUUAAGUGACUAGAAAAACUGACUGUUCUACUUCAUCAUGUACUGCAUUAAAAGCAUUGCCUGCUAGUAAGUGUGUAAUAUUGUUCCUAUAAGAAAACACAGUAACAUUUAGUGGUAAAAAUAGUCUCCGUUCUUCCUCCUUAAUUUCUCUUACUUGUGUUUUUAAUUGUUGUAUAGUUGUCAUCCAUAUUUCAUUCUUAGCUAGAAGCUAAGAAUAAAUAUUUUUAAAGCAAUAUCAACACGGUGCCAGAUCACUUCAGGCUUUAACUGGAAACAAAUUACCCAGGUUUUACUCUUCAGACUUAAUGUUGGACUGACGAGCUUUGAGUUCUUUUUAAGGUAGUGCCAAGUGUCUCCAAAGUCCUGUUGACCUUUUUUCUGACUCCUCUUGGCUUAUUUGCAUGAAGGAUAGCACUGUGGAGGAAAAGGUGGAAAGCUUCCUUCUCCCUUGGCAAGCUUACAUGGAAAGAUACUCUUCUGAAAAAAAAUGUUACUGGCAAUAGAAUUCAUGCUGAGAAGGCACAAGACAAUCAUUCCAUGUCUGUUCUUCCUGCUUGUCUUGUCAUAUCCUAGACUCCAUCUUUAAAACCAGAUGGGAUUUGUAAAUGAGCAGGUGUAUCUCUCCCACUUCCCACUACCAGCUGCUGUACCAUCAUCAGUGGACACAAUUUGACCGUAAUUUGAGAUAAGCCUUUUUCCCAGUGCAUAUAAUUCACUUCUGUAAUUGAGAAGCUUUUGGAACAGGGUCUUAAAGUGCAGGCCGUCAUGACCAAGAGAAUCUAUAUAACAUAAAUUCAUGCUAAAACAUUGACAUUACUGGUAAAUGUUUAUACACUGAAUGUUGGAAUUUUGAUUUAAAAAAGCUAGCAGAUGAUUGCAGAUAGGUAAAAUGGGACAGUGACAUAAGUAUUGCUUUCAUUAAUUUCUAAGAUAAUGAAAUGGAAUAGUAAUAAUUUUUAUGUAUUUAUUUGCAUACGUAGCUACAUCCAAUUUCUUUGGAUUAUUUUUAUGGUGAUUGUUGUGUACCAAGGAGAGAAUAAGCAUUUAGUUGCAAUUUUUCCUUUUUUUAAUUUUUUUAAAGUAAUUAUCCAAAAAUUAGCUUGUAGGUUGCUAGUUUUCUCUUUGUUUCUGUUUCCCACCAGGGUGGAUGAUGAAUUACCUCCGAGUCAUUGAUUCCUUGCUGGGAAAAAAAGUGUUUGAGAAUGAAUGUACUCCUGUUUUUCACAUGAAGAGGCCAUAGUUGCCAAUUACUUGAGGAGGUAUAGAAUUAACUCAAAAACAUUCUUAAGAGAGCACUGAUAGAAGAAGUCUCACGUGUACUUCAGGAUGUAUGCAAAUGUCCUGCACAAUGCAGUAUGAAAAAAGGAGGGAGAAGCAGGGAACCCAGAUGAGAGCGUGGUGCCACAACAGCUGUGUCAGAAUAUUCACAAUCGCUUAUAGAUUGCUAUGGCUGAUUGGCAGCACUCAGUGACUGCUUCAAGAGGGUGGAACUGGAACCAGCACUCGUGGGCAUGUCACAAGGAAGGAUCAGGGGCCUUGGAGAUGUGUGUCUUUUCAUUUGAUCUGACAUCUAACCCAGGACUACAGCAAGCUCUCAUUUUUAUUCAAAAUGCUGGCUGUUACUCUUUGGACUAUGUCUUUUUUCUAUGCUGUAAGCAAUAGAAGCAUCCACUUCCAGGUGGAGUUUAUUUUCCAGUUUUUCUGUGACUGUCUGUUGCAGUCUCCUCCUCUUUCCUUUCGUCUGGCACAGGUUAAGCACUCUGAACUUCUUGUAGUAAUGUUCAAAGAAGGUUAUCGCAAGUAUGCACUGUAAGUCAAGGCACAGAAUAAUAAACUAAAUCUCAAAAUGUUGAAUCACUUGUGUUGUGAAAACAUAGAUUCUGAACGUGGGGACUGAGUGAACUCAUUGAAGAGCUGGUGCUGGAGAGCCGUUCCCUCACCCUCCUCCUUCAUGUGCACCUAAAACCAGCCUGACAGGCAGUCCUGCUGACAAGAAUGAUAUCAGUCAUGAUGCUGCAGACAUUUUUGUGGAGGAUAUCUUCAGGGAGGAAGUGAGGAGAGAACAGACUCAGAACUGUGACAUUCACUCCAGCUACGGGAGGAGCCUUUCUACAGUCUUCCUUGAGAAAAUCCCCACAGUAUACUUUGAAGACUGGGAGGCAGGGAGAAAAAUGGGAUUAAAAUUCAGAAGACCCUUCCUUCAUUAGGGAAGGAAGACUAAUGUCUCAGAUGCCAUCUUGUAUAUCCAGAAGGACAUAAGACGUGCUGUACAAUGAACCACAGCACAGGAUCACUAGGCUGAUGCCAGCGUGCUGGAAAUGUCCCACAACCAAAAUGCAUAGCAAAUGAGCUAAUCUGUACAAACAUGAUACUGGAUCCCUAUAUUGGAUAAAAGCAUUGAAAACAAGUUCAGGAAGUAAGAGAUACUGCCUCAUUCUAAUUAGCAAAUAACUUCUAAAGGACUUUGACCAUUACAAAAUUUUUGCAUCAAGAUAGAAUUUUUCCUGGGAAAACAUUUCUAAAAUAAGGUAUUUCCUGAAGUAAAUCUUGUUGUUUCACCCUGAAUGGAAUUAAACGCAAUUCCUAAGUCCCACUCAACAUCAGACCAGAUUCCAAAAUAUAUCAGCCACCACCAAGCAAUUGAACACCAAACUGUCCUGGGAAAGGGUCUCUAAAGGCAACUCCACGCACUCCACAUUAGAUGGUCUGGCCCACUACUUCAACAUAGCUGCUUGGAUUUUAGUUCUUUCUUCCAGAAUUUAUAGUUACAUAAUGACUACAAUUCUAAUCCCGCUGAAUUGAUUCACACUGUUGUUAAAUUUCUUGAGUAGCUGACUGAGGAAGGGAUGGGGUAGUCUGGCCUCU